ensembl:lncRNA
GGCUCCCAAUGGCUCCCAAUGGCUCCCAGUAGCUCCCAGUAUCCCCUCUUAGCUCUUAGUGGCUCUUGGUGGCUCUCAAUGGCUCCCAAUGGCUCCCACUACCUCUGAGUGGCCGAGUGGGGGGUGGGAGAGCACCCUAACACUCCAUGCUUCCUGCAGCCAUCAUCCCAGCAUCUCACGUUGGGUUUGGGGGCACCUCUUGGGACCAGGUCUCAUCCUUCCCCCCCCCACCAUGGCCCCGUCCUGCUGCAGGGAGAGCAAUAACAGUUCCAGGCAGAACAUCAGUGCCUUUCUUUGAGUUUGGAAGUGAUUGCUUCUCGUUCCAGCUCGGGAAUCACUUUUGGAGUCACUUUUCAUCUCCAGAUACUCAGAAGCAAAGUGAAAGAGAGCCCAGAAGGAUCCCGUGCCAUCAUCAGAGUAAUUUUCAAGUACCCCGUUGUGGUUCCCAGUGCCUUAUUGCCACCCUGGAUCCAACAAGAGGUAUCGUGGUUCAUCUCACUCUUCUCCUCCUCUGCCUCCCUCCCCGGGACUCACUCACAGAAUCCCCCAUCUUGGGGGUGGUACCCCAUACCCUCGGGGUGCUCACAUCGUCCCCAUGUCCCCAAAGUGCUCACCCCAUCCCUAUGUCCCCAGAAUGCUCACAGCAUCACCCAUCCUGGGGUGCUCACACCAUCCCCAUGUCCCCAAGGUCCUCACACCAUCGCCCAUCUUGGGGUGCUCACACCAUCCCCAUGAUCCUGGGGUGCUCACAUCACCCCCAUGUCCCCGAAUGCUCACACCAUCCCCUAUCUUGGGGUGCUCACAUCAUCCCCAUGUCCCCAAGGUCCUCACACCAUCACCCAUCUCGGGGUGCUCACACUAUCCCCAUAUUCUUGGGGUGCUCACACCAUCCCCAUGAUCUUGGGGUGCUCACAUCACCCCCAUGUCCCCAAGGUCCUUACCCCAUCCCCCAUCUUGGGGUGCUCACCCCAUCCCCAUGUUCUUGGGGUGCUCACACCACCCCCAUGUCCCCAGGAUGCUCACAGCGUUACCCAUCUUGGGGUGCUCACACCAUCCCCAUGUCCUCAGAAUGCUCACACAAUCCCCCAUCUUGGAGUGCUCACAUCGUCCCCAUGAUCUUGGGGUGCUCACACCAUCCCCAUGUCCCCAAGGUCCUCACACCAUCACCCAUCUUGGGGUCCUCACACCAUCCCCAUGAUCUUGGGGUGCUCACAUCACCCCCAUGUCCCCAGGAUGCUCACAGCAUCAUCCAUCUUGGGGUGCUCACACCAUCCCCAUGAUCUGGGGGUGCUCAUACCAUCACCAUUCUUGGGGUGCUCACACCAUUGCCCAUCUCGGGGUGCUCACACCAUCCCCAUGUUCUUGGGUUGCUCACACCAUCCCCAUGAUCUUGGGGUGCUCAUACCAUCACCAUUCUUGGGGUGCUCACAUUAUCCCCAUGUUCUUGGGGUGCUCACAUCACCCUCAUGUCCCCAGGAUGCUCACAGCAUCAUCCAUCUUGGGGUCCUCA